rnacentral:lncRNA from 1 species
UGAGUCCAUCUACUACGCUAUCAAUAGUAUUAAAUAUUUGGUGCUAUCAAAUUUUUCAUUGUUAGAUCUAUAUUUUUAACCUUUUUAUUCGUUAAAUUAUACUAUUCAACUAACUACAACUCAUGAACUCCAGAUAGCUACUAUCAUCCUAACCACAUAUCUCUUUAUCCAAGGGCUGAAAAUCUAAUAGUACCCAGCGCUUGGUACUAUUUUUUCUUUUUUUUUUUGAGAGAUAGGUAGCACGCUAUCCACUUCGUCUAUUUCAUUUAGAAAUAAACUUAGCCAGAAAUGUGAAUCAACUAGGAUUCAAACUUCGGUCUCAGAUACCAACCACCAAGCCCUUUGUCACCUGCUCUAGGGACGGUCAGUAGCGCUUGGUACUAUUAAUAAUAUUUAUUGUAGCUUAGUUCUUAGUAUAUUUCUUUAUGUAUUUAUCACAUAGUACAAAUAUAUAUUUUUUUGUAUAAAAUUAAAAUAAAAUUAAAUAUUCUCAUAUUAAUAAAUAAUAUAUAUUAUUAUAUAUAUAAUGCUAAGUUAUAUGUAUAUAACUAUAUAAAAUAAUAUGUACUAUAUAUUUUAUCUAUAGAUAUGUUUAAUUGUAUAUAAUAAUAUUAUUUAUAAUAUAUCCUCGUAUUGAAACUAAAUAUUUAGUUAUAUUUAUAACAUAUCAUCAUAUAUAUUAAUAUAUAUCCUUAAUAAUACUAUAUACUAUAUUUUUCAUUU